rnacentral:rRNA from 1 species
CGGCGUGCUUAACACAUGCAAGUCGAACGGAAAGGCCCCUGCUUGCAGGGGUACUCGAGUGGCGAACGGGUGAGUAACACGUGGGUGAUCUGCCCUUCACUUCGGGAUAAGCCUGGGAAACUGGGUCUAAUACCGGAUAGGACCAAUCUUUAGUGUGGUUGGUGGAAAGUUUUKUCGGUGGAGGAUGAGCCCGCGGCCUAUCAGCUUGUUGGUGGGGUAAUGGCCUACCAAGGCGACGACGGGUAGCCGGCCUGAGAGGGUGGACGGCCACAUUGGGACUGAGACACGGCCCAGACUCCUACGGGAGGCAGCAGUGGGGAAUAUUGCACAAUGGGCGGAAGCCUGAUGCAGCGACGCCGCGUGAGGGAUGACGGCCUUCGGGUUGUAAACCUCUUUCGCUAGGGAAGAAGCCUUCGGGUGACGGUACCUGGAUAAGAAGCACCGGCUAACUACGUGCCAGCAGCCGCGGUAAUACGUAGGGUGCGAGCGUUGUCCGGAAUUACUGGGCGUAAAGAGCUCGUAGGUGGUUUGUCGCGUCGUCUGUGAAAUUCCGGGGCUUAACUCCGGGCGUGCAGGCGAUACGGGCAAACUGGAGUGCUGUAGGGGAGACUGGAAUUCCUGGUGUAGCGGUGGAAUGCGCAGAUAUCAGGAGGAACACCGAUGGCGAAGGCAGGUCUCUGGGCAGUUACUGACACUGAGGAGCGAAAGCAUGGGUAGCGAACAGGAUUAGAUACCCU